rnacentral:lncRNA from 1 species
AAGAAAAGAAAAGACAUGAAUAAACAAGUUAGUAAUGGGAAGAAAUGAUUAAAGCAAUAGAUAAAGAUAGUAAAGAAAGCAAUAAACUCACAGAAGCACGUAAUGGUAAAAGCCUUAAAGAAAGUCUCCAACAGAGUUGCUAUGCUGUCGACGCCCCCUUUUUCAAGAGUGAAAUUGGGUUUUACGACAUUAUGGGCAAAACAACUCUAUUUCCCGUUUAGGAAUUGGGUCACGAAAGCGAAAGAGUCGCCACCUAAUGAUUAUAGUGCAAUAGGACACUUCAAGAUGAAGA